rnacentral:rRNA from 1 species
UACGGAGGGGGCUAGCGUUGUUCGGAAUUACUGGGCGUAAAGCGCACGUAGGCGGCUUUGCAAGUUAGAGGUGAAAGCCCGGGGCUCAACUCCGGAAUUGCCUUUAAAACUGCAUCGCUCGAAUUGUGGAGAGGUAAGUGGAAUUCCGAGUGUAGAGGUGAAAUUCGUAGAUAUUCGGAAGAACACCAGUGGCGAAGGCGACUUACUGGACACAUAUUGACGCUGAGGUGCGAAAGCGUGGGGAGCAAACAGG